rnacentral:tRNA from 3 species
CGUUUCGUCCACUCAGCCAUCUCUCC